rnacentral:rRNA from 1 species
UACGGAGGGUGCGAGCGUUGUCCGGAGUGACUGGGCGUAAAGAGUUGCGUAGGCGGCUUAUUAUGUGGAUAGUGAAAGCUGGUGGCUCAACCAUUCAGUCUAUUAUCCAAACUGGUAAGCUCGAGAAUGGUAGAGGUAGUUGGAAUUUCUUGUGUAGGAGUGAAAUCCGUAGAUAUAAGAAGGAACACCAAUGGCGUAGGCAGACUACUGGACCAUUUCUGACGCUGAGGCACGAAAGCGUGGGGAGCGAACCGG